GGCCCGUUAGCUCAACUGGUAGAGCAGCGGACUCUUAAUCCGCGGGUUGUAGGUUCGAGUCCUACACGGGUCA
rnacentral:tRNA from 1 species